GCCUGACGCAGCAACGCCGCGUGAGGGAUGAAGGUCUUCGGGUUGUAAACCUCUUUCCGGGAUGACGAAAAUGACGGUAAUCACAGAAGAAGCUCCGGCCAACUACGUGCCAGCAGCCGCGGUAACACGUAGGGAGCGAGCGUUGUCCGGAUUCAUUGGGCGUAAAGAGCUCGUAGGCGGUUUCGUAAGUCAGAUGUGAAAACUCAGGGCUCAACCCUGAGAUGCCAUCUGAUACUGCGAUGACUAGAGUCCGGUAGAGGAGCAUGGAAUUCCUGGUGUAGCGGUGGAAUGCGCAGAUAUCAGGAGGAACACCAACGGCGAAGGCAGUGCUCUGGGCCGGUACUGACGCUGAGGAGCGAAAGCAUGGGGAGCAAACAGGAUUAAAUACCCUGGUAGUCCAUGCCGUAAACGUUGGGCACUAGGUGUGGGACCUUCUAACGGGUUCCGUACCGUAGCUAACGCAUUAAGUGCCCCGCCUGGGGAGUACGGCCGCAAGGCUAAAACUCAA
rnacentral:rRNA from 1 species